AUCCUCUCCCAUCUCCUUUAUUGUGCUCCGGGCGCUACAACCGCGGCCCCAAAACCCCCGGAAAUCAACCCAAAACCCACCCCCCCCCCCCCCCAUAGGGGUCCUGUAUGUCUUCAAUGGGGCUUCUAUGGGGCGCCCCAUAGAUCCCUAUGGGAAGGUUCCCAUCCAUAGGUCCAUCUAUAGGUCCCAAUCCAUAGAUCCCAAUCCUUAGGUUCCAUUUAUAGGCCCACAUCUAUAGGUUGCAUUCAUAGGCUCCCAGUCCAUAGGUCCCAAUCCAUAGGUCACAUCCAUAGGUCACAUCUAUAGGUCCCAAUCCAUAGGUUCCAUCCAUAGAUCCCUAUCUAUAGGUUCCGUCCAUAGGUCCCAAUCCAUAGGUCACAUCCAUAGGUUCCAUCCAUAGAUCCCUAUCUAUAGGUUCCAUUCAUAGAUCCCAAUCUAUAGGUCCCAAUCCAUAGGUCCCAUCGCCACCUUCAGAGCAGCCCUUCUGACCCACAGCCCCCAUGGGCCGCCCUAUAGGGGACCCCUAAGUCACGCUCCAGGUCCAUUCCCUCCCUAUGGGGCUCCCUUAGGUCCUUAUGGGUCUCUCUAUAGGGCUCCAUAUGGGUCUCUCUAUAGGGCUCCAUAUGGGGCUCCCUUACGUCCCUAUGGGGCUCCCUAUAGGGCUCCCCAUGAAUCUCUCUAUGGGGCUCCCUAUGGGGCUCACUUAGGUCUCUAUGGGGCUCCAUAUGGUCCCUAUGGGUCUCCCUAUAGGGCUCCCUAUGGGGCUCCCCUAGGUCUCUAUAGGGCUCAUUAUGGUCUCUAUGGGUCUCCCUAUAGGGCUCCCCUAGGUCUCUAUAGGGCUCACUAUGGUCUCUAUGGGUCUCCCUAUAGGGCUCUCUAUGGGUCUCCCUAUAGGGCUCCCUAUAGGGCUCCCUAUAGGGCUCUCUAUGGGGCUCCCUUAGGUCUCUAUAGGGCUCACUAUGGUCUCUAUGGGUCUCUCUAUGAGUCUCCCUAUGGGGCUCCCCUAGGUCUCUAUGGGUCUCCCUAUAGGGCUCCCUUAGGUCUCUAUGGGGCUCCCUAUGGGUCUCCCUAUAGGGCUCCCUAUGGGGCUCGCUUAGGUCUCUAUGGGGCUCCAUAUGGUCUCUAUGGGUCUCUCUAUGCGUCUCCCUACAGGGCUCCCUAUGGGUCUCCCCUAGGUCUCUAUGGGGCUCCCUAUAGGGCUCUCUAUGGGGCUCGCUUAGGUCUCUAUAGGGCUCACUAUGGUCUCUAUAGGACUCACUAUGGUCUCUAUGGGUCUCUGUAUGGGUCUCCCUAUAGGGCUCCAUAUGGGUCUCCCUAUGGUCCCUAUAGGUCUCCCUAUAUGUCUCCUCCUCGCUCUCCCCAUCACUCUCCUCCUCCUCCUCCUCCUCCUCCUCCUCCCCCCACGUGACCCCAAACCCCUCCUCCAGAUCCCCCCCCCACCCCUCCCCCACCAUCGGAUCCCCCCCCCACCCCUCCCCCAUCUCCACCCCCCUCCCCCCUCCCCUCGGGUCCAGCUCCCCCAACAGCGCCUGCGCCAGGAGGCGUGGCCAGCGCGCCCGGCG
ensembl:lncRNA